rnacentral:rRNA from 1 species
ACUCAAAGGAAUUGACGGGGACCCGCACAAGCAGUGGAGUAUGUGGUUUAAUUCGAAGCAACGCGAAGAACCUUACCAGGUCUUGACAUCCCUCUGAAUCCACUAGAGAUAGUGGCGGCCUUCGGGACAGAGGAGACAGGUGGUGCAUGGUUGUCGUCAGCUCGUGUCGUGAGAUGUUGGGUUAAGUCCCGCAACGAGCGCAACCCUUAUAUUUAGUUGCCAGCACAUCAUGGUGGGCACUCUAGAUAGACUGCCGGUGACAAACCGGAGGAAGGUGGGGAUGACGUCAAAUCAUCAUGCCCCUUAUGACCUGGGCUACACACGUACUACAAUGGCCGGUACAACGGGCUGCGAAAUCGCGAGAUGGAGCCAAUCCCACCAAAGCCGGUCUCAGUUCGGAUUGCAGGCUGCAACCCGCCUGCAUGAAGUCGGAAUUGCUAGUAAUCGCGGAUCAGCAUGCCGCGGUGAAUACGUUCCCGGGUCUUGUACACACCGCCCGU